AAAAGGUAUUGCACACACCAAUAACUUUGUAUUUUCAUUUUAUAAAAGCACCUGCCCGCACACAUGAAGCAUAAUUUUCUUAUAUUUGCCUUCGCGCUUUUAUUACUGUAUUUAUCGUUAGAAGGAGGAGUUGGUGUUGAUCGUAAAUAUGUAAAAGUCUGUCAGCAUUACAGCGAUGGAGAGUCCGUAAAAAUACCAAAUGGUCAAGACUGUACUUCAUUCUACAUAUGCAAAAAACAUGUGCCAAUUUUAACUCCUUGCCUAUCUGAAACCAUAUUGAAUUAUCAAGGUUCCAAACGGACUAAAUGUAUACCAUCAGAAGAUCCUAACAAAUGUCCACAAAAAGAUGACCCAUCGUUUUUGGAUAAUGCGCUCAAAGAACUUUCCUCACGCAAUAAAAAAUCAUAAUUAUGCAUAAAGACAUGUGUUUAGCCAUAAUUCCAAAUUGUAAAAUAUGUACCUUGAGCACUAGGCUCUCGCUGAAUACACCACAGCAUUAUUCUGGAGUGAAAAUAAUUUCAAAAUUAAACGUAUCUGAACUUU